CUACGUGCCAGCAGCCGCGGUAAUACGGAAGGUCCAGGCGUUAUCCGGAUUUAUUGGGUUUAAAGGGAGUGUAGGCGGUUUGUUAAGCGUGUUGUGAAAUUUAGAUGCUCAACAUUUAACUUGCAGCGCGAACUGUCAGACUUGAGUACACGCAACGUAUGCGGAAUUCAUGGUGUAGCGGUGAAAUGCUUAGAUAUGACGAAGAACUCCGAUUGCGAAGGCAGCUUACGGGAGCACAACUGACGCUGAAGCUCGAAGGUGCGGGUAUCAAACAGGAUUAGAUACCCUGGUAGUCCGCACAGUAAACGAUGGAUGCCCGUUGUUAGUUCACUUAAGAAUUAGCGACCAAGCGAAAGCAUUAAGCAUCCCACCUGGGGAGUACGCCGGCAACGGUGAAACUCAAAGGAAUUGACGGGGGCCCGCACAAGCGGAGGAACAUGUGGUUUAAUUCGAUGAUACGCGAGGAACCUUACCCGGGCUUGAAUUGCAGACGAACGAUUCAGAGAUGAUGAGG
rnacentral:rRNA from 1 species